GUUCCUCGUAAGCCCUCUAAGCCUUCCUGGCAGGCGUCGGAAGUGGACACAGUGACUCACUCUGCUCCACGUCGCCACCCUCGGCACCGGGAGGCGGUUCCCCACCCCCCAGACUCCGGUCAAAUCCAGGUUCCUGGCCAUGCCCAAACCCGCCCGUUUACUGCAGCCGGCUCUGUUAAUGCUCAGAGGGUAAGGGCGCUCGCUGACCGCUCUUCCAGAGGUCCUGAGUUCGGUUCCCAGCAGCCACAAUCCGUAAUGAUGCGAUCUGGUGUCCUCUUCUGGUCUCUGCGCGCACUGCAUUCAUGUAUAUGUUCACAGUUACAGUGUGAAUUCCAGCGAGCCAACCUGGACUCCGGAAAGAAACUGCAAAACUGAGUAGGGGUAAGGGCUGGGCCGUCAGAAGGACCAAUGGAUUAGGAUUACUGCCAUCUUCUGGAAGUUGACAAAUAUGAAUCUACAAUGUCCAGGACAAACUGUCCCUUACAGAUGCCAUCCCUAUACACAGUGGCCCUGCCCACCUCAUGGAAUUAAUGGAGAGUGCAUUACCCAACGUAGUAAGACAUUUAGAUUAGAGCAGCACCUGGUGCACGGUAAGCACUAUUUAAAGGUGCAUGUAAUCACAAUUAGCAUUUAUGUGCCUAAAAUAUAUUUACCUUCCAAAGUUGGGGUAGUGGGUCAGAAUAUGACAGCCAGAACACCAGCUGUACUGUUUUCCUGGGAACAUGUUCAGGCGUGCGUAAGUGCACACAGGCAGAGACCGGAGGUUUCUCCCUGAUUUUCCAGCUUCAGGAAGGAGUUACCACUACCAAGGGAGUGGAUAGUCCCAUGUUUUGCUUGUUUAGACAUGUCUCAUUACAUAGACUUAGAACUCUCUGUAAUACACGUUGAUAUCUAAUUCA